AUCCGAUGUGACGUGGUGGCUAACACUAUCGCCUCCCAUGCGAUAGCGCGGGGUUCGAUUCCCCACACGGAUG
rnacentral:tRNA from 1 species